GACGAACGCUGGCGGCAUGCCUUACACAUGCAAGUCGAACGGUAACAGGUUAAGCUGACGAGUGGCGAACGGGUGAGUAAUACAUCGGAACGUGCCCAGACGUGGGGGAUAGCUCGGCGAAAGCCGGAUUAAUACCGCAUAAGCUCUGAGGAGGAAGGCGGGGGACCGUAAGGCCUCGCGCGUUUGGAGCGGCCGAUGGCAGAUUAGGUAGUUGGUGGGGUAAAGGCUUACCAAGCUUACGAUCUGUAGCUGGUCUGAGAGGACGACCAGCCACACUGGGACUGAGACACGGCCCAGACUCCUACGGGAGGCAGCAGUGGGGAAUUUUGGACAAUGGGCGCAAGCCUGAUCCAGCAAUGCCGCGUGCAGGAUGAAGGCCUUCGGGUUGUAAACUGCUUUUGUACGGAACGAAAAGGCGCCUACUAAUACUGGGUGUUGAUGACGGUACCGUAAGAAUAAGCACCGGCUAACUACGUGCCAGCCGCCGCAGUAAAAC
rnacentral:rRNA from 1 species